CCUACGGGCGGCAGCAGUGAGGAAUAUUGGUCAAUGGGCUUACGCCUGAACCAGCCAAGUCGCGUGAGGGAAGACUGCCCUAUGGGUUGUAAACCUCUUUUGUCAGGGAGCAACGCCGGCUACGUGUAGCCGGACUGAGAGUACCUGAAGAAAAAGCAUCGGCUAACUCCGUGCCAGCAGCCGCGGUAAUACGGAGGAUGCGAGCGUUAUCCGGAUUUAUUGGGUUUAAAGGGUGCGUAGGCCGCAUGCCAAGUCAGCGGUAAAAUCGCGGGGCUCAACCUCGCUCCGCCGUUGAAACUGGCGGUCUUGAGUGGGAGAGAAGUAUGCGGAAUGCGUGGUGUAGCGGUGAAAUGCAUAGAUAUCACGCAGAACUCCGAUUGCGAAGGCAGCAUACCGGCGCCCAACUGACGCUGAAGCACGAAAGCGUGGGUAUCGAACAGGAUUAGAUACCCGAGUAGUC
rnacentral:rRNA from 1 species